rnacentral:rRNA from 1 species
GACGUAGGGCGCGAGCGUUGUCCGGAUUUAUUGGGCGUAAAGGGCGCGUAGGCGGCGCGGAUAGUCGGCGGUGAAAGCCCGGAGCUCAACUCCGGGUCGGCCGUCGAUACUUCCGGGCUUGAGCACUGUAGAGGCAGAUGGAAUUCCGGGUGUAGCGGUGGAAUGCGUAGAGAUCCGGAAGAACACCGGUGGCGAAGGCGGUCUGCUGGGCAGUUGCUGACGCUGAUGCGCGACAGCGUGGGGAGCAAACAGG